UGAGAGAGGAACUGGAGGCCUAAAGAGGUAAAGUGUUUUAUCCCAGUUUGCGUGCUGAAGAGGAAGAGAGGCCUCUUGGCUGUACAGAGGGCAAGGAACCAAGGAUACUGAACCGGGGGCCCUCUCGCACCCCUGGAAAGCUGAGACCCUGGGGUAGUGCAGAGAGCAUCCAUCUAGCAUCCAGGACUCCCUGCCUGAGGCCCAGCUACACGACUUCCUGGCUAAAGACUUUCCCUCUCUGGGCCAGGCUUGCGGAUCUAUAAAGUGAGACCCUCGGAAUCAGGCCCACGACUCAGAUGAUGAGCGACGUGGAUUUCCCUCCGAGAGGAAUAUCUUGUUGAAAGGACUGUAAGGAUGGAGUGUGGAGGCAGGAACGCGUGAAGCUGCAGAGCCUCCUGAGUGGUCCAGCAGGCGUCCUGCUCUCCUGCUGUGACCCUCUGAUGCUCCAGAUACCGGGCUGUGGGUAUGAGGUAUUUGCUUCGCAUCUGCCCUGUGCCAAACCAUGAGGAUGCUGGGGUUGAAGGAACUGGACAACGUUCUCUCAACUGGAUGAUGGGGACAGAAGUGCUGUGGGUGGAAAAGAGGACCUCUCUUGAACUAACUCAGCCACAUCUGGGCCUGUUUGCAUCGUUCACACACACUUCCUUUUCCCAUUUAAGUGCUUAAAUGAUUUAAAGUGGUUUAAAUAGAAUCCUUGAAAGUCCCUCCCCUCCCCGUUUCUUCCUAAACAGCUCCUACACAGCCUUCAGGGCCUCGUUCAAGGGUUGCCCACUGAAGUACUUACACCUGCCGCUUCCUCCCAUCCAACAGGUAGAGCAUCUCCUCAGUCAGCCCACAGUACAUCACACAAGUGUUUGGUGGAGCACAAUAGUCAUUGUUUUCAUUUGCCUCUGAGCCCUUUGGGUGGAGCGAGGACAUGGCUUCCUCAUCAUCACUGAUUCCCAAGCCCGGAGUACUUACUGGCCCCAGUAAUGUUUGUUCCAUGAAUAUUUCUUCUUAUUGAGGUCUGACAGGAGAAAGGGCUGAGAAAAGGAACUGAUACCCAUCAAGCCUGCAGCACCUUCAGUUAUAGGCCCAACGCCUGGCCAGGUUAACAUAAAUCUCCACACUAAAGACCUCUUUACUUCCGUUCCUGAAGCCUAUACCACAUGCCAGGCUUUCAACAAAAAAUUACAAGGUCUGCCAGAAAGCAAGAAAACACUGAAGCAAGAAAAGUCUGAAGAGACAAAGCAAACAUCACAACCAGACUCAGACAUGACACAGAUGUUAGAAUUAUCAGGCAGGGAAUUUAAAAUAACUAUAAUUAAUAUGUUAAGAACUCUGUGGAAAUGUAGACCACAUGCAAGACAGAUGGGUAAAGUAAGCAGAGGUGGAAACUCUGAGAAUCAAAAAGAAAUGCUAGAAAUCUAAACACCGGAACAGAAAAGAAGAGUGUCCUCCAUGGGCUGCUCGGUAGACUGGACACAGCUGAGGAAAGAAUCCGUGAGCUUGAAGACAGGGUGAUAAUAAGUGUUCAAACUGAAAUCAGAGAGAAAAACAAU
ensembl:lncRNA